UUCCAAGAAUUAAUUCCGAUUAGAUGAAGCUUUAGAUCAAGCUUGGCUUUCACCCCCAUAGAAGAGUGAAAUAAGGCUUUUUAAAAAAAUGAUUUUGCCAAACGCCAUUCCAAGAUCCAUAAUGGCCGAGCCUUCGUUGAUGGGUUUCGAAUGCUCAGUCUUUAAUCACACCAAGAAGAGAGUCAUAGAACUAUUGCUGCAUAGCAUUCAGGUUAGCUUUCCAUUGUCUGUCUGAGAACAAAUUGAGUGGAGAUGAACAAGAUGAUCACCAAGUUUAAUCAUUAUAUGGUUGCUGUAAUUUUU